UGCAGUCGAGCGGUAGCACAGAGAGCUUGCUCUCGGGUGACGAGCGGCGGACGGGUGAGUAAUGUCUGGGAAACUGCCUGAUGGAGGGGGAUAACUACUGGAAACGGUAGCUAAUACCGCAUAACGUCGCAAGACCAAAGUGGGGGACCUUCGGGCCUCAUGCCAUCAGAUGUGCCCAGAUGGGAUUAGCUAGUAGGUGGGGUAACGGCUCACCUAGGCGACGAUCCCUAGCUGGUCUGAGAGGAUGACCAGCCACACUGGAACUGAGACACGGUCCAGACUCCUACGGGAGGCAGCAGUGGGGAAUAUUGCACAAUGGGCGCAAGCCUGAUGCAGCCAUGCCGCGUGUGUGAAGAAGGCCUUCGGGUUGUAAAGCACUUUCAGCGGGGAGGAAGGCGAUGAGGUUAAUAACCUUGUCGAUUGACGUUACCCGCAGAAGAAGCACCGGCUAACUCCGUGCCAGCAGCCGCGGUAAUACGGAGGGUGCAAGCGUUAAUCGGAAUUACUGGGCGUAAAGCGCACGCAGGCGGUCUGUCAAGUCGGAUGUGAAAUCCCCGGGCUCAACCUGGGAACUGCAUUCGAAACUGGCAGGCUAGAGUCUUGUAGAGGGGGGUAGAAUUCCAGGUGUAGCGGUGAAAUGCGUAGAGAUCUGGAGGAAUACCGGUGGCGAAGGCGGCCCCCUGGACAAAGACUGACGCUCAGGUGCGAAAGCGUGGGGAGCAAACAGGAUUAGAUACCCUGGUAGUCCACGCCGUAAACGAUGUCGAUUUGGAGGUUGUGCCCUUGAGGCGUGGCUUCCGGAGCUAACGCGUUAAAUCGACCGCCUGGGGAGUACGGCCGCAAGGUUAAAACUCAAAUGAAUUGACGGGGGCCCGCACAAGCGGUGGAGCAUGUGGUUUAAUUCGAUGCAACGCGAAGAACCUUACCUGGUCUUGACAUCCACAGAACUUUCCAGAGAUGGAUUGGUGCCUUCGGGAACUGUGAGACAGGUGCUGCAUGGCUGUCGUCACCUCGUGUUGUGAAAUGUUGGGUUAAGUCCCGCACGAGCGCAACCCUUAUCCUUUGUUGCCC
rnacentral:rRNA from 1 species